GCAGAGUUCUCAUGACCUAAUCACCUCUUAAAGGUCCCAGCUCUCAACACUGUUGCAUUGGGGAUUAAGUUUCCAAGGCAUCAACUUUAGGGGACGCAUUUAAACCAUAGCAUGUGAGUACUUAACAUCCUACAGGCUCAACUCUGCCUCAGGAGUCUCCUUCCCAGGGAGUGCACCUUGAGACACUUAAGUGAGUUCAUUUGUCUCCCGGAGCCUGGCUUCCUUCACCUGUUGAGUAGGAGUGAUGACGGCCCGCUGGAGGCUCGUUCUGCACAUUCAGUGAGAUGCUGUAUGCUCCAGAAGUAAUACAAAAUUCACUCUCAGGCUGUUCAUUGGAGAAAAAUGUAAAAAUACAGAUAAAUGCACAUGAAAACAAAAAGGU
rnacentral:lncRNA from 1 species